UGCGGCCGGGAGCUGCGCGGAGCCGCUCGGAGCCCCGCGGAGCUGCGUGCGGGGUUCGGGCUCUCGAGAGAUAUAAAGCCAGGCUGGAUGGGAGAAGGGCGGCUGAUCCAGUUAUAUCGAUGACACGGAUGGAGUAAGUUCUGGUUUUAUGCCAGUUUUCCUUUUGUCUUCUGCUCCUGGUGAGUUUAACUUUGCUUCUCUGAGUCCUCUCGCUGUUUUCAAAGGCUUGUGAGGUCCCUCCAUAGUUAGCAACCCAGAGCACAGUGCCUAACGGGGAGAAGGAUGAACUUUCCCCUUUCAGAACAUUAAAACAUUCAGACUCACAGCAAAGGGCUUCACUCCACAGACCUGAGAACCUCACACCAGCAGGGAGCUUGCCAGGCCUGGGAAAGGCCAUUUCUGCAGGGGGUGUCCCCUGUGAGGGUAUUGGUGCUCUCUGAGUAGCUCUUUCCUGAUGUGGAUCCAACAACCCAAGUGCCUGAGGUGCGGCCACAGAGACCUGGAGUGAGCAGGGACAGCUGACAAAUGAGGGGUGCAGACCUCCUGGCUCUUUGCAGUGCAAUGGGCACCAUCAGCAUCCCAACAUGCAGAUGGAGGAGAUGCCAAUUUGAGAGAUGGGAAUGAUCUGUUCAAGAUGAUGGAGCUCACCUGUGGCCCUACAGACCAGAGCCAGGUGGGCUGGCGCAGCUGUGGGGUUCAAGGUCCUUCCUGCAGCGGGGCUGCAUCCAGCAACUGCCAGUCCAUAUUUAUCCUUUGCCUCUCACAGUGGCUAUAUAUAUUGUCCAAACUGAAACAGAAGGGCAAAUUUCCUGCUAAAAAAAUCCUCCUUUCCUUCUCCUUCCUGGGCUGGAGAGCUGCACCCGUGCCUCCAACCUCCUCGCACCAGUGCUGCUUUGCCCUUUAGCUGUGGCUUUUCUCUGGGUUGGAAGGAAAAGCAGAUGAGUCCUUCCCACGUUGGCUCAGCUUUCCUUCACCUCCUUGAACCUACAACAUCUGGGUUGCAAACACGCAGGGAGAGCAGCGUUUGCCUUCCAAGGUGCUGCAAACGUGCAGGGGAGUACAAAGACGGUGGGAAAGCGGGUGGCAGCUGUUCUCAAUGAAGCACAAAACGAUGAUGGAAACGCAUCUGUCCAUGCCCGGUUUUGGCACAACAUGUCGAGUCAGGAAACACGUUGUAAGUUUUCAUGAUCCCACCUGCAUUCACCUGUUGCUGUCACUGUUCCUCAGGUUUUCCCAAUAGCCCAACACACGAAUAUUUGGUGCUCUAAAAAAAAAAAACCCAACGGGGUGGUUUGCAGGGCACAUUGGCAUCGUGGUCCCUCUCACCACCACGGAGAAGACCAAUGACAUCCGGUGGUUUUAACCAUUUCCUCUUGGAUCCAAAUGCUGAUCCUGCCUCAAAUCCAUCUUUAUUUUCUCCCCUGGGGACGGGGGAACUGCGUCCAUUCUCAGCUGGCUCCUGCUUGGCUGAACCGGGGAGGACCCCGCUGUGCUCUGACACUUCUUGGCUCUCCUGCGAGCGACCAUGACUCACUGCACUGAGCAGCCCUCCUAUCUCACACUCCUCCAUCUCUGCUCUGUCUCCUAGGAUAUCCAUUUCCCUUUGUCGCUCCCUCCUCCUCUGGCCAAAACAAAAUAAAAAAUUAAGUGUGAAUCUCAGAACCAAAGAUGCUUUUGGCUGUUUUUUUUGUUGUUUUUUAAGCAGACACUGAGAAGCGAGGAAAAACCCUUCUUGUAAAUUAUAGUCCCAUGAAAACAGCUCCAGUUGCACAGAGAGUUUGGCAAAUUACAGAAGAUGCAAAUGUCAGUUGAAGGAACUCUGGCAGUAAAUAUUUUUCACGACUGCUUCGUUAGCAAAACUUGUCAUUAGAAUGGCUCCUGCUCUCCGGAGCUGGGGAGGGAUGACAGCUCUUUAGUGUUUGGUAGAUUUCAACACUUUACCCCUAAAACACAGCUAUGCCAUUUAUUCCCAUGUAAUUAAUCCAUCGGUACUGUCUUUCUGAAAGACAAGAAAGCUUAUUUUGAAGUUCAGCUGUGGCACAGAGCCUGGCAAAGAGAGAUGUUCCACUGUUCUCCUCUUCCAGGUGGACACCCAACAGAUGGAGCCUGCUCACCACUCGCUUGUUCUCAUUGUUUCCAUCUUCUCUUCUCCAUAAUGAGAAACCAGGAGCCGGGGGGGGUGCCCACCCUGCCCACCCUGCCCACCCUGUGCCUGUCACUGAAGACUGCAAAGAGAGAAACUGGAUGUAUCCUGUAGCCGCAGAACCCAGAAGGUGAAGAAAAGGACUCAGCUAAGCAAGCACUGUGCUUACACAUACGAACUGCUAAGCUGGUUCCAGCAGCAUUGUGCUUUCCUUCCAGGGCCAACAUCUUUGGACAUGUCAGAUUCGCCCUCAGGCCCCAUUGCUAAUCUGCACAGCUUGGCGUGGUGGAACUGCAGCGUGUGCCAUUGUGCAAUGGCUCGAGCUGCACGAAGCAGUGAUUUAUGUCCCUUCCUCACAAGCAUCUCCUCUAUUUGCAGGGACCUCUGUGAAGUUUUGCUCUCCAAGUGCAAAACUCACAUUGAGAACAUGAUUUCUUUGGGCUGAUAUUUCUGCUGAGCUGCACCAACGCCUGAGGCCGAUCUCUGACUUUCUGAAUCCUCCACAUCUCCCUGCCCUGCCCCAGUAACUGCAAAACUGCUGCACCCACGCACUCCUGGAUCUCAAUCUUAGUCCUGGGGCUCCUUUCUCCUUUGUGAGUUCUCCUUUGUGAGUUUUGCAGCAAGUUCCCUUCUGCACGCUGGUGAAAGAUGUGCCCGCUCUGUGCUCUGUGCAGAACUGAGUGUGCAAACAGAGCCUGGAGGUGUGGGGCUUCACCGCCUGCCUGGCCCGGCUGCUCGCAGCGCUGUGAUUUAUGCUUUGAUUUGUGAAUGCCUCUUCCUGCCAGGUGAUUGCAUGGGCCCUUGCCUGCACAUUAUUUUCGCAUUUGCUUUUGCUUCCCCCUUUCCACCCCCACC
ensembl:lncRNA